GGAUCAUUCAGCGACGUCUCAGCACUCCCAGUAACACUGCGAACCGUCCCGUGCCGGCGCCGUUGCUUCGGCGUGGCGGGGCAGGUCGCCGUCCACCUCGGUGGGCGGCCCUGCCCGCUCCAUCAGAAGGGGGGGGACGCCCCCCCGGACGCUGGAACGCCCGCCGGCGGUGCCAAAGCCUUCUGUAUUUAUAGCGGCCUUCACACUGAGUGGUACUGCAAGCAAGCAAAAAAAAAACUUUCAACAACGGAUCUCUUGGCUCUGGCAUCGAUGAAGAACGCAGCGAAAUGCGAUAAGUAAUGCGAAUUGCAGAUUUCAGUGAAUCAUCGAAUUUUUGAACGCACAUUGCACCCGGCGGCCAUUCCGCCGGGUCUGCCUGUUCGAGCGUCGUUUCUCCCCUCGAGACCCCCGGGACUCGGUGUUGGGGAUCUGCAGGGCCCCCACGGGCGCUGCAGUCCCUGAAAUUCAGUGGCGGGACAUGCUGGAGGCCCCCUGCGCAGUAACCAAAUCUCGCAUCGGGUGCCGGCGUGCCCUGGCCGUCAACCGGUCGGUGCCCCAGGUGCCGUCCACAGAACAGUCGACCUCGAAUCAGGUAGGGUUACCCGCUGAACUUAAGCAUAUCAAUAAGCGGAGGAAAAGAAACCAACAGGGAUUGCCCCAGUAACGGCGAGUGAAGCGGCAACAGCUCAAAUUUUGAAAU
rnacentral:misc_RNA from 1 species